rnacentral:rRNA from 1 species
UACGUAGGGGGCUAGCGUUGUCCGGAAUCAUUGGGCGUAAAGAGCGUGUAGGCGGCUCGGUAAGUCCGCUGUGAAAGUCCAGGGCUCAACCCUGGAAUGCCAGUGGAAACUGUCGAGCUAGAGUCCGGAAGAGGCGAGUGGAAUUCCUGGUGUAGCGGUGAAAUGCGCAGAUAUCAGGAGGAACACCAAUGGCGAAGGCAGCUCGCUGGGACGGUACUGACGCUGAGGCACGAAAGCCAAGGGAGCAAACAGG